GACGAAGGAUGCAAGCGUUAUCCGGAUUCAUUGGGUUUAAAGGGAGCGUAGGUGGCCUUAUAAGUCAGUGGUGAAAUCUCUGGCUUAACCCAGAAAUUGCCAUUGAUACUGUAGGGCUUGAGUACAGUUGCUGUGGGCGGAAUAUGACAUGUAGUGGUGAAAUACAUAGAGAUGUCAUAGAACACCGAUUGCGAAGGCAGCCCUCGACA
rnacentral:rRNA from 1 species